rnacentral:rRNA from 1 species
CUUGUCGCCCCGAGAGGGACUGGAGAGGAGAGGAAGGAAGAGAGAGUGUAGGAAGGGGAUUAAAGAAACGAAAGAGCUAGGCGUCGUCGUCGCAGAGGUACCUACAGUCGUCGUCAUCGUCGCAGAGGUACCUACGUCGUCGCACUGCCGAGCGGCCCCACCUAGGGGAGGAGGCGGGGGUAGGAGGUGGAGAGGCCGGCGGGUCAACGUUGCGUCAUCGCCCGGUGGACUUCGUCCAGGAAGUAUGGAAGGUACCUGCUCGAGCUGCCUCUGCGACAGGUCGGGCUGGUGCCGGUGCUGAUGGAGUGUGUGUUUCAGGGAAGGACGAGGAGGUGGAAGAAGGUACCUAGUUCUACGAUGUAUGUGACGACGACGACAAACAGUUUACUUACUUGCUUGGAAGGAAUGAAUGAAUUAAACUGUUUAUUUGGUUGGAAGGAGAUCUAGUUCGUUUCUUAAUUACUUACUUAAACGUCGAAGCGACGAUUUUACUUACCGGUUGAAGAGACUCCAAAUAAAACCAGUUACUUAAAAAUAUGUUUACUUAGUCUGACAGUAAACCAAAAAAUAAUCAGUGCGGACGGCCUCACCGAUAAUGAAACGACGUCGUCUCAAACGUUGCCUACGAACGAAGGACUCCACUCACUGGUGGAUACGUAGCACUGCCGUCACCUACUACCGUAGUGGAUGUUUUGGGGUUACAACUCGAGAGAGGGAUGAGCGAGACUCGGUAUGGGCAGUUCUGUUCCAAUACAGUACGAUCCCAACAAGUGAACGGUACAUGAUGAUGUUCUUAACAACGACAGGAGACACAUAAAAGGGGAAUGACAUGUACAAUAAUACCAAAUAAUGCACGAGCUAACUACUAGACGGUAAGUACACUAGUGAUGAAGUCAAUCACAAGAUUCACGAAUUGAUUGACACGGAGUUUGCCGCCAACGAGAAGAAGCAGAACCUGGUCUUGGGGCCGCCGACCUAUUCUCGUAUCCUCGUUCGUCUCGUCUACCAAAUCGGCCGGAGGAGGAGAGAGAGGGAAGGGAACGAAAGUGAGCGAAAACCGUGGGAGUGGCGGUAACCAGCGUAUGGGUCUAUUAACUACUUUUUUGAUGCUAUUUCUUUAUAGCAGCGGCAGAGUAGUAGAAGCAGCUGUACUCGUAGAGACAGCCUGGUACGUGGGUACGGAAGGGUAGAUGGAACGACCUCACCGGCGGAGGACCAACUCCAUAACGCGACGUAGAUGGCAGGAGACGACUGUGGCGACGGCGACGGGCCCAGGGAGGAGAGCGAGGACAGCUCCAACUCUACUCGUGGCACUCCUACUCCUCCAGUCACCGACUAUAUCUCUCGAGGAGCUUACCCCUUCAUCGUCAGAACCUCCUUGAGUUUCUACAGUACAAAGUCAAAACUACCCUUAGCGAUGUUGUUGUUAAUCUUCUCUGGUGUAAAGUCCAAGUCUUGGUUAAAGAUCCCCAUACAUGUUCAACAAAAAUAAGAUAGAACCAAACUUUAACCAAAAUCUAACCACUUAAUCGUAUCGUAUUACUUACAACUCGAAGUAAAGUAGAUGUAAACCAAGACUUGUACACACGUAAAUUCUUUGAAACAUAAGAAGGGAUAAAAAUUCUCGGAUGUUUUUCUGAUGUUUUACCACUAUCCGUACAGGUCUUACAACUUUCGAAGUAAAACCAGGUAAUCUAUCAAAUAUCCAAACAGUGAUCUCCAACCGACAGUGUAUCCCAACGACGAACACUUUACUUACGAGGUAUCAAGAGGUACGUUGUUUCGAUUAAUGACUUAGACGUUACGUACGAAUAAAAACCGUCUUCGAAUCACCUAGUUAAUCGUAACACAUUUCAGACAGAUUCGAGGGUAGAGAGAAGAAAGAUAUUUGACCUACCGGUCCUAUCUAAAGAAUUAUGGUAAAACCCUAACAAACUCGUGAACUGUCGCAAUUGUCCAAAUGGUAAAGAGUAAAGAAUUAUCGUAAAACCCUAGCAAACUCGUGAUAUGGUUACAAAACGAAAGACGAUUUGAGUUUCUAUAACAUAUGAACUUACAAAAAGUUAACGGUUAUGUACGGUUUAAGACGUAUAAGGAAUUCCACUGUGACUAAAACCAAAAUGAACUGUAGACGUAGGAAAAUAUAGUAUCAGCUCUUUAACUAAUUUUAUAACAUAACCAAGGUUUUAUUAUAAAAGAAACUUUGUCCCACUAUUAAAGUCAUAGUGAGUUGUACAUAGUAAUAGACAUCUUUUAUAUUUCCAUGUACGUGAGUAGACACAAUAGAUGUACUGGAUUAACAUUAUCUAUUGGUCGCUAAAUUCUAAACUCGGUAACACCGAUGAAAAUAAUAAAAGUUUACCCAAUGUACGCCUAACAGCAAAAUAAAUACUCGUCGAAGCAGAACGAUAGUGGUGUUACCCUUAACUAGUGACACCGUUAUACGAGAAGAUACAACAGACUAACUGAGAAAAAUAAUCGUACCUCUUAUGGAAAACCAAUUGAUUCUAAUCAAAGACAAGUGUAAUAAGAAUAUAUUUUUUAUAAUAACACGAUUUCAACGUACUGUAAAACCGUUUUGUGACAAAUCAUUUUUUAAUACAUCUCCACUUAAAAUCUCCACUUUACCACACCUACAAAACUGACCCUAUACGAACCUAAUUGAAAUCGCACUGUGGAAUAAGUUAUAGACACAAAACCCAAGAUGAUUAACAGUCGCGGAAAAGAAAGGAGGGUUACGGUACACUAUAAAUGACCUGAUAUUUAGUACACGAACGUUCAGCAACAACACGGCAGAGAGAGAGAGAGAUUGGUGAGGGGGAGACUAUGCAGAGGCUGCAUAGAUAUUAGAAACUAACAAGGUACGAUAAUAUAAUGGGCAAAACCUACAAAUACCCGAAAUGAUAUGUGAAAAUAUAGUAAAAACCCUGAUUGGAUGAUUGGCCUCCGGGUCGGGCUUAACAACAAAAAAACGGAUAAAGUCACAAACCUUUUUUUCCUUAUAGUUUGCCUCAGGUUUGCCUUACUUUGGAAGCCUUCGCUAGAAAAACCUUGUUUGCGUUAAGUC